rnacentral:rRNA from 1 species
CCUACGGGAGGCAGCAGUAGGGAAUAUUGGGCAAUGGAGGCAACUCUGACCCAGCCAUGCCGCGUGCAGGAUGAAGGCGUUAUGCGUUGUAAACUGCUUUUAUAUAGGAAGAAAUAGACCUUGCGAGGUAAGUUGACGGUACUAUAUGAAUAAGCACCGGCUAACUCCGUGCCAGCAGCCGCGGUAAUACGGAGGGUGCAAGCGUUGUCCGGAUUUAUUGGGUUUAAAGGGUGCGUAGGCGGUUUAUUAAGUCAGUGGUGAAAGACGGUCGCUCAACGAUUGCAGUGCCAUUGAUACUGGUAGACUUGAGUGGGAUUGAGGUAGCUGGAAUGGAUAGUGUAGCGGUGAAAUGCAUAGAUAUUAUCCAGAACACCAAUUGCGUAGGCAAGUUACUAAGUCUCAACUGACGCUGAGGCACGAAAGUGUGGGUAUCAAACAGGAUUAGAUACCCUGGUAGUCCACACUGUAAACGAUGAUAACUAACUGUUGGCUUUCGGGUCAGUGGUACAGAGAAAUCGUUAAGUUAUCCACCUGGGGAGUACGCCGGCAACGGUGAAACUCAAAGGAAUUGACGGCNGAGAGAGCGAGACGACGACGAGGGAGGAGG